AGAGCGAACGCUGGCGGCAGGCUUAACACAUGCAAGUCGAACGGAUCCUUCGGGAUUAGUGGCGGACGGGUGAGUAACACGUGGGAACGUGCCUUUAGGUUCGGAACAACAGAGGGAAACUUCUGCUAAUACCGGAUAAGCCCUUCGGGGGAAAGAUUUAUCGCCUUUAGAGCGGCCCGCGUCUGAUUAGCUUGUUGGUGAGGUAAAGGCUCACCAAGGCUACGAUCAGUAGCU
rnacentral:rRNA from 1 species